CCCCCGGAGGACUAGUGGUUAGACCACUGUGCUCUUGCCGCAGCGGCCCGGGUUUGAGUCCUGGCCAGAGAA